CACGGAGUUAGCCGAUGCUUUUUCUCCGGGUACUCUCAGCUGCGCCACACGUGGCACAGCUUGCUCCCCGGCAAAAGAGGUUUACAAUCCAUAGGACCGUCUUCCCUCACGCGACUUGGCUGAUUCAGGCUCGCGCCCAUUGACCAAUAUUCCUCACUGCUGCCUCCCGUAGGAGUCUGGUCCGUGUCUCAGUACCAGUGUGGGGGACCUUCCUCUCAGAACCCCUACGCAUCGUCGCCUCGGUGGGCCGUUACCCCGCCGACUAGCUAAUGCGCCGCAUGCCCAUCCCUGGCCGGAAUCGCUUCCUUUGAUCCUAACGGGAUGUCCCGCAAGGAUGUUACGCGGUAUUAGCCGGAUUUCUCCGGCUUAUCCCCCAGCCCAGGGGCAGGUUGCAUACGUGUUACUCACCCGUGCGCCGGUCGCCGGCGGAUGAAGCAAGCUUCAUCCCCGCUGCCCCUCGACUUGCAUGUGUUAAGCCUGUCGCUAGCGUUCAU
rnacentral:rRNA from 1 species